UACAGGGAGAAGGCCUGGAAGUUAUACCAGAUCAACUCAAAAUUACAGUUUUUCAGAGCUUAUAUACCUUCUAAGCUAUACGUCUACGUGUAGUUGUGCGUUCAUCUAAAGACGCUGUGAAGUCAAAAGGAAAAUGUAAGAGGCUGCCGAGUUCUCAGAGUGGGAUGAAUAGAAUCAUUCAUGUUCAUCUGGAGAGAAACAAGUUUUCCUGUGACUGAAUAUUAAGAGAAUGACUUCCUGAAAUAAGACAUCAAUGCUACAUCUGCCACAGAGGAAAAAAGAAACCGUACAUAUAUGAAUGAUUAUAAUCCUCGCCCAAGGCAGGAGUCUCCCAGCACGCCAGAAAAGGCCAUAAAUCCAUGCGAUAUCCCUGACUACUGCAUUUUACAUCUAGGACUCAGAGUAACUGAAAGUGUCUCUGAUAACUCCAUCAUGAAGCCUCUGCUGGUCCUGCCAUUGCUCCAGAUGCAUGCUGGCCACUGUGGCUGCCAUCAGCAUCACCACCGAGAGGCCCAGCAGUGCCUUCAAACUCCUCGACAUCUCUGUGCCAGCUUCCAAGGCCUCUUUCUCCCACCUCUCAAGGCUGGUCAGUAGCAUUUAAUUUAGUUCAACAAACAUCUAUCGACUGUCUGUUAUAGGAUACACCAAGAAGGUGGCCAUCUACCAGCCAGGAAGAGAUCCCUCACCAGAGUCCUGCCAUGCUGGGGCACCCUGACCUUAGGCUUCCAGCCUCCAUAAUGGUGAGUAAAUAAAUUUCUGUCGUUUAAGCCACCUGUCGAUGAUA
rnacentral:lncRNA from 1 species